rnacentral:rRNA from 1 species
GACGAACGCUGGCGGCGUGCUUAACACAUGCAAGUCGAACGGAAAGGCCCUGCUUUUGUGGGGUGCUCGAGUGGCGAACGGGUGAGUAACACGUGAGUAACCUGCCCUUGACUUUGGGAUAACUUCAGGAAACUGGGGCUAAUACCGGAUAGGAGCUCCUGCUGCAUGGUGGGGGUUGGAAAGUUUCGGCGGUUGGGGAUGGGCUCGCGGCUUAUCAGCUUGUUGGUGGGGUAGUGGCUUACCAAGGCUUUGACGGGUAGCCGGCCUGAGAGGGUGACCGGCCACCUUGGGACUGAGAUACGGCCCAGACUCCUACGGGAGGCAGCAGUGGGGAAUAUUGCACAAUGGGCGGAAGCCUGAUGCCGCAACGCCGCGUGCGGGAUGACGGCCUUCGGGUUGUAAACCGCUUUCGCCUGUGACGAAGCGUGAGUGACGGUAAUGGGUAAAGAAGCACCGGCUAACUACGUG